GACGAACGCUGGCGGCGUGCUUAACACAUGCAAGUCGAACGGUAAGGCCCUUCGGGGUACACGAGUGGCGAACGGGUGAGUAACACGUGGGUGAUCUGCCCUGCACUUCGGGAUAAGCCUGGGAAACUGGGUCUAAUACCGGAUAGGACCACUGCCUGCAUGGGUGGUGGUGGAAAGCUUUUGCGGUGUGGGAUGGGCCCGCGGCCUAUCAGCUUGUUGGUGGGGUGAUGGCCUACCAAGGCGACGACGGGUAGCCGGCCUGAGAGGGCGACCGGCCACACUGGGACUGAGACACGGCCCAGACUCCUACGGGAGGCAGCAGUGGGGAAUAUUGCGCAAUGGGCGAAAGCCUGACGCAGCAACGCCGCGUGCGGGAUGACGGCCUUCGGGUUGUAAACCUCUUUCAGCACCGACGAAGCGCAAGUGACGGUAGGUGCAGAAGAAGGACCGGCCAACUACGUGCCAGCAGCCGCCGCUG
rnacentral:rRNA from 1 species